rnacentral:sRNA from 1 species
GGUAUUCCUUAUCUGUCUAAAUGGGUUGUCUGGAGCCUGUCUUCGUGCGCUCUGGUAUCAAAACGCACGAAGACAGGCCCAAUCGGUGAGUUGCCUAGUGUUAACAUCGG